rnacentral:tRNA from 1 species
GGGGCUAUAGCUCAGCUGGGAGAGCGCUUGCAUGGCAUGCAAGAGGUCGUCGGUUCGAUUCCGUCUGGCUCCACCA